rnacentral:rRNA from 1 species
AUACGGGAGGCAGCAGCAAGGAAUUUUGGGCAAUGGGCGAAAGCCUGACCCAGCAACGCCGCGUGGGGGAUGAAGGCCCUCGGGUUGUAAACCCCUUUUGCGAGGGAAGAAGAUCUGACGGUACCUCGCGAAUAAGCCACGGCUAACUACGUGCCAGCAGCCGCGGUAAUACGUAGGUGGCAAGCGUUGUCCGGAUUUACUGGGCGUAAAGCGCGCGCAGGCGGACUGGUCAGUCCGGGGUGAAAUCUCACGGCUCAACUGUGAGCGGUCCCCGGAUACUGCCAGCCUUGAGGGGUCUAGAGGAGAGCGGAAUUCCCGGUGUAGUGGUGGAAUGCGUAGAUAUCGGGAAGAACACCAGUGGCGAAAGCGGCUCUCUGGGGAUCACCUGACGCUGAGGCGCGAAAGCGUGGGGAGCGAACCGGAUUAGAUACCCUGGUAGC